rnacentral:rRNA from 1 species
ACGCUGGCGGCAGGCCUAACACAUGCAAGUCGAGCGGUAGCACAGGAGAGCUUGCUCUCUGGGUGACGAGCGGCGGACGGGUGAGUAAUGUCUGGGAAACUGCCUGAUGGAGGGGGAUAACUACUGGAAACGGUAGCUAAUACCGCAUGACCUCGCAAGAGCAAAGUGGGGGACCUUCGGGCCUCACGCCAUCGGAUGUGCCCAGAUGGGAUUAGCUAGUAGGUGGGGUAAUGGCUCACCUAGGCGACGAUCCCUAGCUGGUCUGAGAGGAUGACCAGCCACACUGGAACUGAGACACGGUCCAGACUCCUACGGGAGGCAGCAGUGGGGAAUAUUGCACAAUGGGCGCAAGCCUGAUGCAGCCAUGCCGCGUGUGUGAAGAAGGCCUUAGGGUUGUAAAGCACUUUCAGCGAGGAGGAAGGGUUCAGUGUUAAUAGCACUGUACAUUGACGUUACUCGCAGAAGAAGCACCGGCUAACUCCGUGCCAGCAGCCGCGGUAAUACGGAGGGUGCAAGCGUUAAUCGGAAUUACUGGGCGUAAAGCGCACGCAGGCGGUUUGUUAAGUCAGAUGUGAAAUCCCCGAGCUUAACUUGGGAACUGCAUUUGAAACUGGCAAGCUAGAGUCUUGUAGAGGGGGGUAGAAUUCCAGGUGUAGCGGUGAAAUGCGUAGAGAUCUGGAGGAAUACCGGUGGCGAAGGCGGCCCCCUGGACAAAGACUGACGCUCAGGUGCGAAAGCGUGGGGAGCAAAC